AUUGAACGCUGGCGGCAUGCCUUACACAUGCAAGUCGAACGGCAGCACGGGUGCUUGCACCUGGUGGCGAGUGGCGAACGGGUGAGUAAUACAUCGGAACGUACCUUAUCGUGGGGGAUAACGCAGCGAAAGUUGCGCUAAUACCGCAUACGCCCUGAGGGGGAAAGCGGGGGACCGUGAGGCCUCGCGCGAUUAGAGCGGCCGAUGUCUGAUUAGCUUGUUGGUGAGGUAAAAGCUCACCAAGGCGAUGAUCAGUAGCUGGUCUGGGAGGACGAUCAGCCAGACUGGGACUAAGACACGGCCCAGACUCCUACGGGGGGCAGCAGUGGGGAAUUUUGGACAAUGGGGGCAACCCUGAUCCAGCAAUGCCGCGUGAGUGAAGAAGGCCUUCGGGUUGUAAAGCUCUUUUGUCAGGGAAGAAACAGCAGCUCUAACACAGUCUGCGAAUGACGGUACCUGAAGAAUAAGCACCGGCUAACUACGUGCCAGCCGCCGCGGUAA
rnacentral:rRNA from 1 species